UACGAAGGGGGCUAGCGUUGCUCGGAAUCACUGGGCGUAAAGCGCACGUAGGCGGACUCUUAAGUCGGGGGUGAAAUCCUGGAGCUCAACUCCAGAACUGCCUUCGAUACUGGAGAGCUCGAGUCCGGGAGAGGUGAGUGGAACUGCGAGUGUAGAGGUGAAAUUCGUAGAUAUUCGCAAGAACACCAGUGGCGAAGGCGGCUCACUGGCCCGGUACUGACGCUGAGGUGCGAAGGCGUGGGGAGCAAACAGG
rnacentral:rRNA from 1 species